UAGUAACGGCGAGUGAAGCGGGAAGAGCUCAAGCUUAAAAUCUCUGCGCAAGUUUUGCGCGGCGAAUUGUAGUCUAUAGACGCGUAAUCAGUGCGGCUACUCGGGAUAAGUUCCUUGGAAGAGGACAGCAUCGAGGGUGAUACUCCCGUUUGUGCCUGAGUAUGUUGCACGUACGAUUUGUGUUCUUUGAGUCGCGUUGUUUGGGAAUGCAGCGCAAAGUAGGUGGUAAAUUCCAUCUAAAGCUAAAUAUUGGUGCGAGACCGAUAGCGAACAAGUACCGUGAGGGAAAGAUGAAAAGAACUUUGAAAAGAGAGUUAAAGAGUACCUGAAACUGCUGAAAGGGAACCGGGUCGUUGCCAGUGUCUAUAAUCGUCGGCAUAUUUCAUUGCUGUGCGGGUCUGUGUCGCGCGUUGGUAGUAGUUUGUUCUGCGCUGCGUGUGUCGUGUGGAUUUGCUCGGCGGUGCCCUGUGUCGGUGUGGGACGUCAGAGUCAGUUCGUGUGCUGCGGGAAAUGGUUGUCGAGGAGGUAGGUCAGGAGCUUGCUUUUGGCUGUUAUAUCUCGGCGUGCUAGUUGUCGUGGUUGGGACUGAGGUGCCUACAACGUGCUUUUGAGUGUUUGUGCGUCUCUGUGUGCGUCCGGAUUGGAUAGCUUGCUAUGCAGUUUGUCACGUGUGCGGAUGGAUGUGCGUUCUUACUUGUUGCCGUUC
rnacentral:rRNA from 1 species